GCCAGUGAUAUUGUCCUGUCACAGCAGUAUUGUUAAUUAAGCAAUUGGUACUGCUGAGCCGGGGCAUUAACAUUGUU
rfam:Drosophila grimshawi strain TSC#15287-2541.00 scaffold_14906 genomic scaffold, whole genome shotgun sequence.